GGGCGCCGUAGCAAUACGGUAGAGGCAGACGGGUAUAGUAACACGUGGGAACGUGCCCUUUGGUUCGGAACAACCCAGGGAAACUUGGGCUAAUACCGGAUAAGCCCUUACGGGGUAAAGAUUUAUCGCCGAAGGAUCGGCCCGCGUCUGAUUAGCUAGUUGGUGGGGUAAUGGCUCACCAAGGCGACGAUCAGUAGCUGGUCUGAGAGGAUGAUCAGCCUCACUGGGACUGAGACACGGCCCAUACUCCUACGGGAGGCAGCAGUGGGGAAUAUUGGACAAUGGGCGCAAGCCUGAUCCAGCCAUGCCGCGUGGGUGAUGAAGGCCCUAGGGUUGUAAAGCCCUUUCGGCGGGGAAGAUAAUGACGGUACCCGCAGAAUAAGCCCCGGCUAACUUCGUGCCAGCAGCCGCGGUAAU
rnacentral:rRNA from 1 species